ensembl:snoRNA predicted gene, 25617
CCUGCCCCUAGAGGCGUUGCAGGUGUGGCUGCUGUGUCACAUGUGUGUCAGUAGGUGGCAGAGAGGAAAGAGGCUAUGUCUACGCUCAGUGUUCUGACCUGUGAACAUCUGAAUGAUUAGUAGCCUAACAUU